CCUACGGGCGGCAGCAGUAGGGAAUCUUUCACAAUGGGCGAAAGCCUGAUGGAGCAACGCCGCGUGCAGGAUGAAGGCCUUCGGGUUGUAAACUGCUUUUAUAAGCGAGAAAUAUGAUGGUAACUUAUGAAUAAGGCUCGGCUAACUACGUGCCAGCAGCCGCGGUCAUACGUAGGAUCCGAGCAUUAUCCGGAGUGACUGGGUGUAAAGAGUUGCGUAGGUGGCAUAAUAAGUAGCUAGGGAAAUCUGGUGGCUCAACCAUUCAGACUAUUAGCUAAACUGUUAAGCUCGAGACCGUUAGGGGUAACUGGAAUUUCUAGUGUAGGAGUGAAAUCCGUAGAUAUUAGAAGGAACACCAAUAGCGUAGGCAGGUUGCUGGGACGGUUCUGACACUAAGGCACGAAAGCGUAGGGAGCAAACGGGAUUAGAUACCCGAGUAGUC
rnacentral:rRNA from 1 species